ensembl:lncRNA
CAACUUCCCUCCUCCCUGCCUCCUAGGGGCACUCAGGAAGAAGUUAGGGCUUGCUUAGAUGAGCUGGUCACUCACAUUAGCAGCCAGUGCUGCCACCUGUGAGCUGCUGAGGCUGUGAACAUUACUAAGUUACUUUACAGAAAGGUAUGUAAAGAGUUGCAAAUGUUCCCUGAGCUAGCUGCUCAGGCAUUUCGAAAGAGGCAGGUCUGGACGUGUGUGUGAACGCUUCUCCUCGCUAUUUAUGAGCUGAGCAGCUUGCUGUGAAAAGCUGUCAUGUUUCCCCAGGGUGUGUCAAACCAGAUUUUCUGGCAUGCCAGGCCAUGAAUCUCAUGGUUAUCCAAAAGGAGGGCCUGCUGAGGGGUCUACAGGGAAAGCUACACGUAUGACUUGUUUCAACUUUAGGUUGAAGAGAAGGAACCUACAGUAGCAUCAAAAUGACUGCACUUAUGGUUUGGAUCUGCUGCCCAAUGGCUCAUUAUGUUGGAGGCUUGGUCCCCAGUGCAGCAGUGUUCAGAGAGUUACUGUGCUGAAAGUACAACUGUGAUGCAAAAAGUUCACCAUCCUGGUUUGUGAGAGCCUGUGGGCAGGAGGCAAGCUAGUCUUCCACAAGAGAGACAAUUAAGAGACAAUGGUACAGAAAUGCAUGUUGUAGCACACGCCAGUGCUCCCGUGUAUUGACCUUGCAGCUUCAAGCAACUUAGAGAAUGGCUUGGUUUUCAAAAUUACAAUUCCUCCCAGGUUCUGGAGGCAGGCACAGAGAAGAUUCUUCAGAUUUGAGACUACUUCAGUGAGAUAAAAUACCUAGUUUGGGAAAUGCUGCCCUUUCCUUGGAGACCUGCUGGGAUAUUGGAAUUUCAUGUGCAUCAAAAAUGCAGGGCACACAGAAACAUCUGAAAAGCUGCCAGAGGGAAGCAGUUUAUAUUUCUGUGCAAAGCAUCGCAAUAUCAGGAAGGCAGAGAGUGAAUAUGAGAGGAAGGAAACGGGCAGUUGGUCCCCUGACCGGGGCACUGCAGGUCAGAUAGGUGAUAGGCUGAGCUGGCUGUGGCGGCGUAGCCUUCUUGUGGGUUCUCAGUCACCUAUAACCUUUUAAUCAAAAGGUAAAGAAGAGGAAGAAUGUGGAUUUCACAAUAUUUGAAGCAUCCUGCUAUUGAAAGUAGAGAAGAGGGCACUUUCAGAGGCUUACUACAGGGUAGCAACUGUGGAAAUUUGCUUGGUCAUAAAAAGUAGGAUGAGAUACAGUGAAAAGUAUUUAAAGAGAUCCAAAACUCAAUGAACCCAAUAAUCUUCUGUUAAAAAUAAGCUGAGAGUAAACUUUUUGGGGCGAGAAUAUCAUAAACACUUAAGCACUGAUUGUGUGCAGUCUGAAUGUCCGCAUGUGUGUGUCUAAGCAGUAACAAAAUCCAUCUCUGCUUGUGCAGAUUAUUUUGAGAUCAGUUAAGUGGAAAUAACUAAUGUUCAUGUAUGUAGAAGUUCCCCAUGUGAGUUUCCUUCUCAAAAUAUUGAUUUCCUUUUAUUCCACUGGAAAGGGAGACCUGUGAGGAAUAGAAAGAGGAGGCACUAUCUCUUUAUGAAUACUAAUAAGUAAAUCAAGGGAGACACUGGCACUUCGAGUUUCAUCUUUCCAUUUCCUAGAGGCGCAAACUCUGCAACUUGUCACCUUGGUGUAUUCAGUGCCUUUUGAAGCACUAUACUCCUCCAGAGAGAAUGUCAGCCCCAGCCCUGGGCAGUUUUGACAAACAGAGUAUAUAUUGAUACAUGAUAAAGUAUGCUAGAAAUCACCCCAGCGCUAAAGGCUACUAUAGUUUUAAUAUCAUCAUUUGAAUUAACAAGCAUUCUGUGGAGAAAUAAUGAGCUUUCAUUAUUCAGAACAUCAUCCUUACCCGGGGAACUCAGAAACCAUUAGCUCUUGAGAACUUAAUGAAAAGAUGAUAAAGAAUGUUUUAGAUAAAAGUUUGAACGGGCACACUUGAUAACUGAGGUAAAAUAUUAAUGUUUGUUUGGAUGAUGGAUUAGGGUUGCUCAGCGAGGCUUAGGGAAGUGACAGAAGCCAAGUGUGUGGUCAGGUUGCAGGUGGAGGGUCUGGACCGCCCCAGGGACAGUGUGAGAUGCCAGCUUGGGGAGCUGUGGUCCUGGGAAGACUACUAUGCUUACAGCCUGGCUGCCUCUCCUAUAGCCUGAAGACAGGAGGGAAAGGAGGCAGAUGGGAAGGGAAGGAAUUUAGAAGGGUAAAGUGUGAUCGACAGGUAUGGAUGUACAAAGGGUGAUCAAAUAUAUGGUGAGUGUUUAAAUUUAAAAUGUUUAUUAUAGUAAAAGACACAUUGCUAUUCAUUCACCUCAUAAUACUCUCCCCAACUUUGAGCACACUUAUCUCAUCCUUCUUGCCACUUUCUGAAGCAGUUCUGGAAGUCACCUUUCCUAUCUUAUUACCUUUCUCAUUGCUUGGAUAAACUAUGCAACAGCCCCAAGUUAAAGCAGGAGAGGUUUAUUGUGGCUCACAGUUUGUAGAGGUUUCACUACAUCGCCGGUUGGCUCCAAGGGACUGUGGCAUAGCAGAGGAGAAAAAAUUCAUGGCCUGGCAGGCAGUAAGCAGAGAGGGAUCAAGGGAGGAGGACAGAAAUGUACCUUUCCAGGCCACGCCCACUGUGACCCACUUCUUCCACCAGGCUUCACCUCCCAACAUCACAGCCAGGUGUAAACUCAUCAGUAAAUUAAUCCAGUAUCACACACCACGAUCCAGUCAUCUCCCAAAACCCCCAACUAUGAGUGCAUGAGGCUUUGGCCGGGGGGAAUCUAAAUAUAAACCAUGCCAAGGAUCUUUAGGAAGUGUGAUCACAAAUACAGUGAAUGCUGGGCCAAGUGUCAUCCAGGAGAAAAGUAGGCAUGUAAAAACAUUACGGUGUGUUCUCAUCCACCUUAUUUACUAGAUCUGGCACCAUGUGACUUCUGGCUCUUCUCUAAAGUCAAAAUGGUCAUGAAAGGUAAACAUUUUGAAUUGAUUCAGGACAUUGAGACAGUCAGAACAGCACAAAUAAUGACACAAAAGCAUUUCCAGAACUGCUUCAUAAAGUGGCAAGAACGAUGGGAUAGUGUGUUUGAAAUGAUGGGGAAUAUUUUGAAGGAGGUUAAUGGGACGUAUCUUUUACUGUAAUAAAUUUUUAAAAAUUUAAACAUUCAUCCAAUGUUUCAAUUAUACUUUGUAUAUGUUCAGAGAGGACAUCUCAGAUUACUGUUUUAAAGUCUUUAAUGUAUAAAAUAAAAACAAAACAAUUACAAGGUAAAUAUUUUGUUUUUCUUUUCAUAACCUCACUAACAGAUUAGGACAUUUUGAGAUACCUUUCUGGCUUUAAAAUUUUACAUUAUAAAGGUACUUUGGGAAGGGAAAGAAGCAUGACAGAAGCAGUAAAAGAGAUAGCAUCUUUAAGGCUCGCAUACUAACAUGAACCAUCUGUAAGCGAUAGAUGGAACUUGACCACACGUGGACAUGAAGUAAGUCAUGCGCAUCAAAGAACAUGAGGAAAACACAAAAAGUAGAAGACAGUGAAACAUUCCCAUUCCCACCUUACAGAGACAGUCUCUUGUACCACUUUGUUGUAUCGUAAUUUCCUUUGGCUCUUCUGUAAUAUGUCUACUACCUGCAAGGCAGUGAUUGCAUAUACAGAAUUAUAUAUACUAUAACUUUUAGAUCACUUUUCUGAGUAUAAAACUGAUGCAUAGUAAUUGCUUAAAAUUAGAAGAUUCUGGGGCCGGGGAUUUAGCUCGGUGGUUCCGGCACCUGCCUUGCAAGCACAAGGACCUGAGUUUGAUCCCCGGUACAAAAAAAAAAAAAUUAGAAAAUUCUGGGUAUGAAUUCUGGUGUUCAAGAGAAUUACCCUGCAGAG